rnacentral:rRNA from 1 species
UACGUAGGGUGCGAGCGUUGCCCGGAUUUAUUGGGCGUAAAGGGCGCGUAGGCGGUCACGCACGUCCGUUGUGAAAUCGCUCGGCUCAACUGGGCGGGGUCAGCGGAUACGGCGUGGCUGGAGCAAGCUAGGGGGCAAUGGAAUUCCCGGUGUAGUGGUGGAACGCGUAGAUAUCGGGAGGAACACCAGUGGCGAAGGCGGUUGCCUGGAGCUUUGCUGACGCUGAUGCGCGAAAGCGUGGGGAGCGAUCCGG